rnacentral:rRNA from 1 species
CCUACGGGUGACAGCAGUGAGGAAUAUUGGUCAAUGGACGCAAGUCUGAACCAGCCAUGCCGCGUGCAGGAUGACGGCUCUAUGAGUUGUAAACUGCUUUUGUACGAGGGUAAACACCGACACGUGUAUCGGGUUGAAAGUAUCGUAAGAAUAAGGAUCGGCUAACUCCGUGCCAGCAGCCGCGGUAAUACGGAGGAUCCGAGCGUUAUCCGGAUUUAUUGGGUUUAAAGGGUGCGUAGGCGGUGUGAUAAGUUAGAGGUGAAAUGUCGGGGCUCAACCCCGAAACUGCCUUUAAAACGGUUGAUCUAGAGAAUAGUUGCGGUAGGCGGAAUGUAUGGUGUAGCGGUGAAAUGCUUAGAGAUCAUGCAGAACACCGAUUGCGAAGGCAGCUUACCAAACUAUAACUGACGUUGAGGCACGAAAGCGUGGGUAGCAAACAGGAUUAGAUACCCGAGUAGUC